rnacentral:rRNA from 1 species
UACAGAGGUCCCAAGCGUUGUUCGGAUUCACUGGGCGUAAAGGGUGCGUAGGUGGUGAGGUAAGUCGGAUGUGAAAUCUCCGGGCUCAACCCGGAAAUGGCAUUGGAAACUACCUUGCUGGAGGAUUUGAGGGGGGAUUGGAAUACUUGGUGUAGCAGUGAAAUGCGUAGAUAUCGUAAGGAAGACCAGUGGCGAAGGCGGGUCUCUGGACAGUUCCUGACGCUGAGGCACGAAGGCCAGGGGAGCAAACGGG